rnacentral:lncRNA from 1 species
UCCCUUCAACACCAACUUGAUGGAUUCGAGGGUCAACCUCAUUGCUACAAAAUUAAGAAAAGAUGGUCAGUACAAAAUCCAACAACAAGACAAAAUUCUCUAGGUCAAAAUAGAAGUUGACCAUUCACUGAGGUGAUGUUGAACUAAUGCCGAUGUCAUAAAGAGUCUGCUUAAUCACUAGUUCUUUUUAGCUUUGAUACUUUGACAUCGGGUAGAGU